AACUCCCCUAAGUAUUUUAACUUUUGAUGCGAUUUUUGAAGGGAUUGUUUGUGUACGUUCCCUUUCGGAUAUGUCAUUGAUAGUGUAAGGAAAUGUAACCAGCUUUUGUGUGUCGAUCUUGGAUCCUGCUGCCUUGCUGACUUCAUUUAUUAGUUCUAGUAGUUUUGUGGAAUCCCAGGGUUUUCUGCCUCUAGAGUCUCAUGUCAUCUGCAUAUAAUGACAACUUUACCUCUUCUCUACCAAUUUGAAUACCUUUUAUUUAUGUUUCUUGUCUGAUUGCUGUGGCUAGGACUUCUAGUACUGGGUUGCCGAGAAGUGGUAAGAGUGAGCAUCUUUGCCAUGUUCCAGAUUUUAACAGGGAGGCUUUCAGCUUUUCAACGUUGAGUAUUAUAUUGGCCAUGGGUUUGUGAUAAAUUACUUUUAUUGUGUUGAGAUAUGUUUCCUCUAUACCCACUUUGAUAAGGGUUUUUAUCAUGAUGGAUGUUGAACAAACACACAUUUAUUAUUUAAAAAAAUCACUUUCCACCCUUUAUUAGUGAAAACUCUUUUAAAAAACACGAAUAAAGUGUUCCCAUUGUGGCUCAGCAGUUAGUGAACCUGACUAGCAUCCAUGAGGACGAGGGCUUGAUCCCUGGCCUUGCUCAGUGGGUCAAGGAUCUGCAACCUAUGCCAUAGCUUGUGGCAACACCAGAUCCUUAACCCACUGAGCGAGGCCAGGGAUCUCCAACCUGCAUCCUCUUGCAUCCUCGUUGGGUUCUUAACCCACUGAGCCACAGUGGGAACUCCAGACCCCAAAUGUGAUAUGGAAAAUUAAAAAAUAAAGAAUACUUACUUUCUUCAGGUCCUACCAAACAUUAAAACAUAGUAUAAGGUCACAGUUAUUAAGGCAGUUUAAUACAGCUUCUUCUUUAUUUUUUUAUUUUUUAUUUUUUUGCUUUUUAGGGCCACACCCAUGGCACAUGGAAAUCCCCAGGCUAGGGGUGGAAUUAGAACUGCAGCUGCCAGCCACAGCCACAGCAAUGCAGGAUCUGAGCUGCAUCUGUGACCUACACCACAGUUUAUCUGGCAACCCCAGAUCCUUAACCCAAUGAGCGAGGCCAAGGAUUACACCUGCAUCCUCAUGGAUCCUAGUCGGAUUCAUUAACCACUGGGCCAUGAAGGGAACUCCCUAAUACAGCUUCUUGAGCAGACAAACAGAUCAAUUGAAUAAAGUCUAGAAAUAAACUUCAUUACACAUGGAAAAUUAGUACGUGAUAAAGGUGCCUUUUCCCUUGUAACCUAGAGGGAAAAUAUGGGUUAUUUGGUUGUAAACCUCCCAGGUGAGUUGAAAAAAAUAAGUAUAGAAUAAAAAAUCCCUACCUCAAACCUUAUAUGAAAAUUUAUUCUUUGAUGGCUCAAAUACGUACACAUAGAAUACUGAACUGUAAAAGUGCAAGGGAUAAAAGCCAUAAUUUCGGGGGCGGGGAUUUCAGAGUGACGAAAAGCUUUCUCAUAUUAAUCAAAGAAAAGAGGAAUAAAAGGGCUAUACAUUUAAAAUUGGGUACCUUUGGUUAUGUACGUGUAAGAAAAAUUUACCUAGGAGAAAGAAGAAGUCAAAAGGCAGAUGACAAACUGAGGGGAAAUAUUUCCUAGUUCAUGAGAACAAAGGACUAACUACUGGAAAAUAAAUUGAACUCUUGCAAUCAG
rnacentral:lncRNA from 1 species